rnacentral:pre_miRNA from 1 species
UGUGCACUGGUGGGGUCCCUUGGCCUGGCCUGCACCCUCUCGAGAUCCAGGACCCCUCGGGGGAUGUUGGAGAGCUGGAUUUGGCCCAAUACCUGCAGGCCAGGCCGAGGGACCCCACCAGUGCAUG